AGAAAUGGGGCUUCGGGGUGGCCUUUUGGGGAUGCAGGCACAGAGGGGCAAGGGCAACCAGGUUUUACAUAUGAGGCUCCAGAUCUCAAAAGGGUGAUUUUCCCUCCAAUUAACGAAUAUUACUAAGUGCUCUAAGAAUGACACAAGAGCAGAAACAGAAAAGAAACCUAAUUCUGGCAUUGCCGUCGUCCUCACGGGCGUGGCGAGAACAGGGCCUAAAGUCCACAAGAGACUCCCUGCAGUGGGGAACGUCCCCUUCAAGCAGCAGCCCCCACGUGGUGGGCAGAACCCGAGAAGUCUUGAAUUUACGCAGCAUAAUGGUCUGGGAAAGGGGAAGUGAUGAGCUGAUGAGCCCACCUUCAAAGGGUUAUGAGUGUCAGUGGUGGGGCACUGUGUGAUUCACAAGGCAUCCUGAUUUCCUUUUUCUAUUUAUUUCAUUUCCCCCUGGAACUUGCUGGAAUUCUAAAUCCAAAAAGCUAGUAGCUGCAGUCCGGGAACCCAGAGGAGAAAGCAGCUCACUACCUCUUCUCACUCGAGCAAGGGCGGGUAAAGAAAGCAGGAGAUGCGGGCUGGGCGCGGUGGCUCAGGCCUGUAAUCCCAGCACUUUGGGAGGCUGAGGCGGGCGGAUCACCUGAAGUCAGGAGUUGGAGACCAGCCUGGCCAACAUGGUGAAACCCCGUCUCUACUAAAAACACAAAAAUUAGCUGGGUGGGGUGGUGGGUACCCGUAAUCCCAGCUACUCGGGAGGCUGAGGCAGGAGAAUCGCUUGAACCCGGGAGGCGGAGCUUGCAGUGAGCCAAAAUCGCGCCACUGCAUUCCAGCCUGGGCGACAGAGCGAGACUCCAUCUCAAAAAAAACAAACAAACAACAACAACAACAACAAAAAACCCAAAAAACAAAGAAAGCAGGAGAUGCGAUGGUGUGUUACCGGCAUCUUGAACUGGGAGGGAAGUGUGGAUACAAUCCUAAAGAAACGCGUUCUGACGGCCCC
rnacentral:lncRNA from 1 species